CUCUUAAAGUUGCCUAAGAACGUUGCAAGCCGUUUUACGAAAAACUGAGCAAGAA
rnacentral:ribozyme from 2 species